ACGAACGCUGGCGGCAUGCCUAACACAUGCAAGUCGAACGAGACCUUCGGGUCUAGUGGCGCACGGGUGCGUAACGCGUGGGAAUCUGCCCUUGGGUUCGGAAUAACUCAGAGAAAUUUGAGCUAAUACCGGAUGAUGACGUAAGUCCAAAGAUUUAUCGCCCAGGGAUGAGCCCGCGUAAGAUUAGCUUGUUGGUGAGGUAAUGGCUCACCAAGGCUUCGAUCGGUAGCUGGUCUGAGAGGAUGACCAGCCACACUGGGACUGAGACACGGCCCAGACUCCUACGGGAGGCAGCAGUGGGGAAUAUUGGACAAUGGGCGCAAGCCUGAUCCAGCAAUGCCGCGUGAAUGAUGAAGGCCUUAGGGUUGUAAAGUUCUUUCGCUCGUGACGAUGAUGACGGUAACGAGAAAAAAAGCCCCGGCUAACUUCGU
rnacentral:rRNA from 1 species